rnacentral:lncRNA from 1 species
CAGCACAGAAACUACCAGAAACGAAGGCACGCGUCCGCCAGGGACCGGGUUGGAUGGGCUGCAUCCCGCCAGCACGUCGGACGAGGGGCUCAGCCCAGGGCGGAGGCCCACGGGGGCCCCGCGAGACGCUGCUCACACGGUAACCGUCCCGAGGGCCCAGACCUAACAUUUCCAGCGGCAGCGACGCGAACGGGGACACCCCGCGGCCCCAAAAGAGCGGCCUCGCUUCCCGUUCUCCGAACCCCGGAGGGUGAGUGGCGUUGGCACGCAGAUGGGAGCAGGCUCGACUUCCCCGACGCAGUGGACCCGGGUCUCCCCUCAGGGUGUUCCGGGUGCGUCCCCGGAGCCGGGGAGGCCCGGGUGCCCCGCGCGGCCUGCCGGCGGAGCCCACGAGAGGCCGCUCCUCCCGCAAGCCGGCCGCCCCCGACCGAGGACACCGAGCGGGUAGGCCCGGGGGGAGAAGGCGGGCGCCUUCGCGGGCGCGAACCCGGACACUGGAGUCUCCCCAGGACGGCGGCUCCGGAGGAGGGCGCGAUCCUGCCCGGGAGGCCGCCCGAACGUCCCCCGGUUCCAGCACCAGGACGGCGGAUCCGACGCCGUGCGCCCUCCAGCCCCGGCCUGGGGGGCGGCCCCGAAGGCGGCGAGGGUCGGGGACUCCGGCUCCGGCACACACGGCCCCAGAAAGAGAGCUGCCCUCCCACUGGGAUCUGGUACGGGAAAGUCCCGGAAGUCAACGUGGCGCCGUCCGUUGUACGGGAACCAGAGCCCGCGGGCUCGGCAAAAACGACCUGUGUGCCACACGGCGCCACGCCUGAUGCUCCGGGGUCACACACACACCUCCAGAAGCGAGGCCCGGCGCCGCCGGAAGCGAGGCCCAACAUCACCGGAAGAGACGCCCGGCGCCACCGGAAGCGAGGCCGCGGCCACAGGAAGCGAGGCCCAGAAUCACCAGAAGCGAGGCCCGCGAUCCCCGGAAGGGAGGCCCGGCGCCACCGCCCUCCAUGA